UGACCUGUAGCUCAAUGGUUGGAGCGGGUGCCUUAUACGCACAAGGCUACCGGUUCGAGUCCGGUCAGGUCAA
rnacentral:tRNA from 1 species